CACAAGCUUCCACUGUGCGCUGGCAGGUUUUUCUCGCAAAGGUAUUGUUACAAUUUGGAACAAUCGUUAAAAAACUUGCACGUGUUUUCUGAUGAUCACUUGUUUCUUAUUGUCUAUUCAAACUAUAAAAGUCCAUAUGUGCUGUUGUAUGACUAUCAGUUGUUUUUCAUUCCGAAACUCGAAAUCAUCAAAGCAUCGAAACAUGUGGCCCAGGAAUUUCUUUGUGCUCCUUUUUGGAGCUGUGCUAUUGAUCACUAUAGCUAUGACUCAAGCUCAGCCUGAUGAGCCAGAUGUGUCUGUUGUUGACCCAAUACCGCCUACAGAGCCUACCCCGGAAUCUACGAGACCUACACCGCGAACCAGGAGACCUACGCGCCCGACUAGGAGACCUACGCGCCCGACCAGGAGACCUACGCGCCCGACUAGGAGGCCUACGCGCCCGACUAGGCGGCCUACGCGUCCGUCUAGGAGACCUACACCCCAAACCUUGAGACCUAUACUCACUCAAAUAAAUAACCUUCGCCUUGAACUAGAAGAUGUACGCCAACAGCUAAUAGUCCUACGUGUCCAACUAGGAGAGCUACUCUUAUCACUAGCACCCCCUCCUAUUAGGAGGAGACCAAGCGCAUAAAUUGAAAAACAUGCCGCUAGUUGGAAGGAAUAUAAAUAAAACUGUAAUAUUUGUACAUGAGAAUUUUUAGAUUUUCAAGAAUUCCUAUAAAAUAUUGUUUUUCCUGUAAUAAAAU
rnacentral:misc_RNA from 1 species